rnacentral:rRNA from 1 species
GAUGAACGCUAGCGGGAGGCUUAACACAUGCAAGUCGAGGGGCAUCACGAGGUAGCAAUACUUUGGUGGCGACCGGCGUACAGGUGAGUAACGCGUAUGCAACCUACCCUGUACAGGGGGAUAGCCCGGAGAAAUUCGGAUUAAUACCCCAUAAAGAUAUCCUCAGGCAUCUUUGGAUAUUUAAAGUUUCGACGGUACGGGAUGGGCAUGCGUAACAUUAGCCAGUUGGUAGGGUAACGGCCUACCAAGGCGACGAUGUUUAGGGGUCCUGAGAGGGUGAUCCCCCACACUGGUACUGAGACACGGACCAGACUCCUACGGGAGGCAGCAGUGAGGAAUAUUGGUCAAUGGGCGCAAGCCUGAACCAGCCAUCCCGCGUGCAGGAAGAAGGCGCUAUGCGUCGUAAACUGCUUUUCCGGAGGAAGAAAACCCCUGACGUGUCGGGGCUUGCCGGUACUCUGGGAAUAAGCAUCGGCUAACUCCGUGCCAGCAGCCGCCGUAAGAC